rnacentral:tRNA from 1 species
GUAUAACUCAGUGGUAGAGCAUUCGACUGCAGAUCGCGAGAUCCCCGGUUCAAACCCGGGUGUCUCCU